rnacentral:rRNA from 1 species
GACGAACGCUGGCGGCGUGCUUAACACAUGCAAGUCGAACGGAAAGGCCCUGCUUGUGUGGGGUGCUCGAGUGGCGAACGGGUGAGUAACACGUGAGUAACCUGCCCUUGACUUUGGGAUAACUUCAGGAAACUGGGGCUAAUGCCGGAUAGGAGCUCCUGCUGCAUGGUGGGGGUUGGAAAGUUUCGGCGGUUGGGGGUGGACUCGCGGCUUAUCAGCUUGUUGGUGGGGUAGUGGCUUACCAAGGCUUUGACGGGUAGCCGGCCUGAGAGGGUGACCGGCCACAUUGGGACUGAGAUACGGCCCAGACUCCUACGGGAGGCAGCAGUGGGGAAUAUUGCACAAUGGGCGGAAGCCUGAUGCAGCAACGCCGCGUUCGGGAUGACGGCCUUCGGGUUGUAAACCGCUUUAGCCUGUGACGAAGCGUGAGUGACGGUAAUGGGUAAAGAAGCACCGGCUAACUACGUG